rnacentral:tRNA from 1 species
AAGGGUAUAGCUCAGCAGUAGAGCGUGUGCUUAGCAUGCAUGAGGUCCUGGGUUCAAUCCCCAGUACCUCCA